CGGGAUCGAGGAAGGUCCACCUUGUCGUGGUGAUCCCGCCCGGCCGUCCUUCGGGUCGGUCGCUAAGAGACCU
rnacentral:ribozyme from 1 species